rnacentral:rRNA from 1 species
UACGUAGGGUGCGAGCGUUAAUCGGAAUUACUGGGCGUAAAGCGUGCGCAGGCGGUUUUGUAAGCCAGAUGUGAAAUCCCCGGGCUUAACCUGGGAAUGGCAUUUGGGACUGCAAGGCUGGAGUUUGGCAGAGGAGACUGGAAUUCCUGGUGUAGCAGUGAAAUGCGUAGAUAUCAGGAGGAACACCGGUGGCGAAGGCGGUUCUCUGGGAAUGUACUGACGCUGAGGAGCGAAAGUGUGGGGAGCGAACAGG